UACGGAGGGGGCUAGCGUUGUUCGGAAUUACUGGGCGUAAAGCGCACGUAGGCGGACUGUUAAGUCGGGGGUGAAAUCCUGGGGCUCAACCUCAGAAUUGCCUCCGAUACUGGCAGUCUCGGGUGCGGGAGAGGUGAGUGGAAUUCCCAGUGUAGAGGUGAAAAUGCGCAGAUAUCAGGAGGAACACCGGUGGCGAAGGCGGGUCUCUGGGCCGAUAUCGACGCUGAGGAGCGAAAGCGUGGGGAGCGAACAGG
rnacentral:rRNA from 1 species